GCAUUCGCGAAACCUUACUUCUUGGUUUUCAGGUUAUUUACUUUACGACACGCUGGUCCCUGCUCGGGCGCCAAUUAAUCAAACACAAACGGUUGAUUUAAAAAAAUAUAUUUUUGGGAGCUAUGCUCCUUUAUUCCUUCAACUCCAACUAAAAACUAAACUUUACAUUUUAUCAUUCUUAAUGCUAGCCGUAAAUCUGUCGCUACUGCUACGUGACCAAAAGUGCUGAUUCUGUGGUUCCCACCGUUUUGCUAGAUUUGUGUUGAUGGCCGUCCGUUCCCAUAGUCUGGAGUUACACGUGCCGCAACGUCAGCGACUUUAUUAGUUGGAUGUAUGUUGGAUGCCUAUGCCUUAACAUAAUGAGGUGUUAUGUUGCGCUAAAGAAUGUUGGUGUAAUAGUAUGCAUGUCUUAACAUUUGUUAAUAUGUGUCGUGCUAACAUAUAUAUCAAGCUAUUUUCAAUUUUAGAAAUACUGAUCUUGCGAAUCCCGUAGAUGAGGUACAAACUUAUCAGUCUGGUCGGGAUGUCAGCAGCAAUGAAGCCUCAGCGUGUAUUAAGAAAAUGGUGAACGCGUUUAUUUUAAUGGACACAAUUUCCACGAACGAAUAACUACUCCGCCAAAAACCACACUCACUGCUUUUUUUGAUCUUUGUAUCAGAGAUGAGUUUGCAAAAACUCUUCUUUAUGUCGAGGUGCCGAGGUAUUAUACUUGGGAUGCAAGUAAGAAAACUUGGAAACGCCGAAUUCAAGGUACUUAAGUUCAGGAUUGGCCUGGCGUAAAAUCUGGAGAUGCUUUAGGACGAGUUUAUACAGUUCAUAUUAGUAACAUGGAAUGUUUUUGUCUACGCAUGCUUUUACACCAUGUGCGCGGACCUACCUCUUUCAAUGAUCUAAAAAAAAAUAACACACAAGAUUAUUCUACAUUACGAGAGGCAUGUGAGCCAAGGCGAUUACUGGAGAAUGAUAACCAUUGGGAUGUGACACUGGAAGAAGCUGCUCAUUGUAGAUCAGCAGGCAAGAUGAGAGAGCUAUUUGCUGUAUUAGUAGCGAGAUGUAGUCUUUCAAAUCCUCAACAAUUACGGGAUAAAUACAAAAAUGAUAGGACGGAUGAUACAUUGCACAGAUUACAAGAGCAAAAUCCCAAUGUCACGUACAGUGAAUUAAUUUGCAAUGAGGGUCUGACAAAAAUUGAAGACCACGUUUGACCCCAGAACAAAGGUUAGUAUUUGACAAUGUUGUCAAAAAAAUCGAAGUGGUUUGUUAUUUUUGGAUGCUCCUGGAGGCACGGGAAAAACCUUUCUUUUAAACUUACUUUUAGCCCAAAUCCGAAAAAAUAAAGGAAUUUCUGUAGCAGUUGCCUCUUCUGGAAUAGCCGUCACUCUGCUCAAUGGUGGUCGAACGCCACAUUCGGUGCUUAAACUGUCAUUAAACUUAGCCCAUGAAGAAAAGCCAGUCUGUAAUAUAAGUAAAAACAGCGAGCGUGGAGGUAUGUUGCAGCAAUGUAAAUUAUUAGUUUGGGAUGAGUUACCAUGUUCCAUAAAAAAGCAAUUGAAGCUCUAGAUCGGACUUUGAAAGACAUCAAGAGUAAUCCAAAUAUCAUGGGGGGGAUGGUGGUACUUUUAGCGGGCGAUUUUGGACAGACCCUGCAGGUUAUCACUAAAGGCACCCCUGCAGAUGAAAUAAAUGCGUGUUUAAAAGCGUCAACUUUAUGGAUGCACGUAAAAACGUUUAGUCUGUCUACAAAUAUGAGAGUGCAACUACACAAUGAUGUAUAAUCUGGACAAUACGCUGCCGCUCUUCUUAAAAUAGGAGAAGAUCGUUUGGCAAAGAAUGGUAAUGGCAUGAUUACAUUGGAUCGGGAAUUCUGCAAUGAUGUGCAUUAUACAGAUGUUCUAAAUAACUUCGUCCAUAGCGAACUGCUAACUAAUAUAAAGAAUAGAGAAUGGUUAUGUGAAAGAGCAAUUUUAGCGCCGACGAAUGAAAUGGUGGGACAGAUAAACGAGCAAAUUAUGUCACGCGUGGGAGGUGAUAUUGUUGAGUUUUUCUCUGUAGACACUGUAAUGGAUACUGAACAAGUAACAUCAUAUCCUGUGGAAUUUUUUAAUUCUUUAGAACUGUCGGGAGUACCUUCAAACAAACUGAGGCUGAAAGUAGGCGUUCCUGCCCUUUUGGUGCGGAAUUUAGAUGCACCAAGACUGUGUAGUGCACACGGUUGCAAGUAACAUACCUCGGUCGCAAUAUUGUAAAAGCAAUCAUUAUGACUGGAAUGGCAAAAGGAGAGAAUGUUUUAAUCCCCCGUAUACCCAUAAUUCCGACAGAUUUGCUAUUCCAAUUUAAGAGAUUACAGUUUCCGCUGAAAAUCGCAUUCGCUAUGACGAUAAAUAAAGCUCAGAGGCAAACAUUAAAAGUAGCCGGCAUUAAUUUAGAAAAGAGUAGUUUUUCUCAGGGACAAUUAUACGUGGCUUGCUCACGUGUUUCAAGUCCACAGAAUCUCCAUGUAUUGGUCAGAGAGGGAAAAACAAAGAACAUAGUUUACAAAAAUGUACUACAGUAAUAAGGCCUCUUAUUUUUAGCUUCCUACAUUAUUAUACUACUUACAUUAAGUUAGUAGUUCCUACGCACACGAUGCUGCGGAUGUCACACUGUCUAACAUCGGGGGAUAGCAGGAAACAUUCGGAGCUAUCCAUUAUGUGCUUAGGUUGCUUUUGAAGAAAUUUUGAUGUGAAGUUGAGGACCGGAACACGAUAGUGGGACAUUGUUGCAGGGGGACUAACAGCCGGGAGAAAAAACUUAUGCGGACGAAGUCGUGGUAAAAUGUGAAUAUGGCAAACCUGGUUUUGCGAAGAAACAUCAAAUCAACAAUUGUUUCUUAAAGGAAAUUCGAAGUAAUCGUCAAAUUCA